rnacentral:rRNA from 1 species
CAAUAGCGUAUAUUAAAGUUGUUGCAGUUAAAAAGCUCGUAGUUGGAUUUCUGGUUGGAGCGACCGAUCGGGCAUUGAUUUGUCUGCACUGGAGUCGGUUCUGGCCAUCCUCUUGGAAAGUGCGUCUGUCAUUAAGUUGUCGGGCGUAUGAUCCAGGUCUUUUACUGUGAAAAAAUUAGAGUGUUUAAAGCAGGCCUUCGCCUUGAAUACAUUAGCAUGGAAUAAUAAGAUAGGACUUUGGUCUAUUUUGUUGGUUUGCAGACCGAAGUAAUGAUUAAUAGGGAUAGUUGGGGGUAUUUAUAUUCCAAUGUCAGAGGUGAAAUUCUUAGAUUUUUGGAAGAUAAACUUAUGCGAAAGCAUUUACCAAGGAUGUUUUCAUUAA